AUCGAACCCAAUCUCAUAUCAUGCAUCUGUCGAAAAGAUAUUUUAGUGAAAUUUGAGGAGAGGAAAGUUAAUACAUCUAUGUAAGGAGACCUCACCAGAGCGACGAAGGGACUGAGGAGUAAAAAGAAUCCUACUCUCUGAUAUAUAUAAUCCUAAGACUCAAAAUAGUUUUCUUCUAGACUCAACAACGGCCAACAAACAAGGGGGCUCCUAUGGUCGGUCGAGGCUCUGAUACCAACUUAUCACGCCCAAUAUGCGACCCUAUCCAAAAAGAACUCGAAGGUCCCACCAAGGAUAGACCCGCAUAUUGAAACGCUUUUGCAAGGUGGAUAUCAUUACAUCAACAUUACAUAAUAGAUGGGGAUACAUACAAGAGGCAUAGAAUGCCACACGAAUACAACAUCACAAUACAUCAAAGCAUCAUUCGACUACGGAUGAAACACAAACAGUAACUCAAACUACAUCCACCCUGCUAGCCCAGGCUGCCGACCUGGAACCUAUCCCCUGAUCGAAGAAGCAGAAGAAGAACUCAACGCAAGCAAGCAUCGCUCUCGCGUCAUGAUCAUCGCAUAACCUGUACCUGCAACUGUUGUUGUAGUAAUCUGUGAGCCACGAGGACUCAGCAAUCCCAUUACCAUGGGUAUCAAGACUAGCAAAGCUUAAAGGGAAAGGAAGGGGUAAAGUGGUGAGGCUGCAACAGCGGCUAAGCAUGAUAUGGUGGCUAACAUACGCAAAUAAGAGCGAGAAGAGAGCAAGCGGAACGGUCGUCAACUAGUAAUGACCAAGAAGUGAUCCUGAACUCCUACUUACGUCAAACAUAACCCAGAAACCGUGUUCACUUCCCGGACUCCGCCGAAAAGAGACCAUCACGGUACACACGCGGUUGAUGUGUUUUAAUUCGGAUCUGGUGUCAAGUUAUCUACAACCGGACAUUAACAAAUUCCCAUCUGCCUAUAACCGCAGGCACGGCUUUCGAAAGAUUAUAGCAUGUAGGGGUGUCCCAACUUAGCCCAUGACAAGCUCUCGCAAUCAACGAAGGAAUAGACCUUCUCCCAGGAAGACCCGAUCAAACUCGGAAUCCCGGUUUACAAGACAUUUAGACAAUGGUAAAACAAGACCAGCAAAGCCUCACGCUGUGCCGACAAAUUCUGAUAGGAGCUGCACAUAUCUCAUUCAGGGCACACCGGAUGAGCCAGACGUCGGGUUGGCAUAGACCCUGAUUGCCCAGGGUGCGCCGGACAUUGCUCAGUUUGGACCAACACUUAGACAAGCACUGGCCCGAGGGGGGGGGGGGGUAAAAUAAUGAUGACCCUCGAGAGCGCGACUCCCAAGGGAAAAAGGGUUAGGUGAGGCAAAUGGUAAAACCAAGGUUGGGCCUUGCUGGAGGAGUUUUAUUCAAAGCGAACUGUCAAGGGGGUCCCAUAAAUCACCCGACCGCGUAAGGAACGCAAAAUCCGGGAACAUAACACCGGUAUGACGGAUACUAGGGCGGCAAGAGUGGAACAAAACACCAGGCAUAAGGCCGAGUCUUCCACCCUUUACCAAGUAUAUAGAUGCAUUAAUAAUAUAAGAUAUAUUGUGAUAUCCCAACCAAAAUCCUGUCCACCAUGGAUAAAUCUUCAACUUCACCUGCAACUAGCAACGCUAUAAGAGGGGCUGAGCAAAAGCGGUAACAUAGCCAAGCAAUGGUUUGCAUAGGAAAGGUGUCAAAGGUUAGAGGUUCAUGGCAAUUUGGGAUGGCUUGAUAAACAGGUGAUAGGUAGCGCACCAAAGCGAUAGAAUGAAGCAACUAGCAUAGCAAAGAUAGUAGUGAGAUCCAGCGUAGCGGCCAUCUUGCCUAAAAUCCCGCUAGGAAGAAGAACGAGUCCAUGAAGAAGACGAACGGGAGUAGUCGAAGGAAUCCUCACAAUCGCAACAUUACCGGAUCUAAGAAGCAACACCGGAAAGAAACAAACAACAUGGUAAAUGCACGAGCAGAAACAUGGCAUGAUGCACAAACAAGUAUGAUGCAUGUUCGGUUUAAUAAGGCAUGGCAUGGCAAAGUGCAACAAACAAUACUACAAGUUAAGUGGAGAUCAAUAUGCAAUGAGUUGCAUAUUGAGGAAACACCACAUCAAUUAUUUAGUUCUCUCUCGGUUUUGUACCCAACAAUAUUAAAUGUUAUUAAACAUGGCAAGGGGGUGAAACAUAAUGAAACUACCUAUCUAGGCAAGUUUAAAUGAGGCCGGAAACAACAAACAAUAAUUCCGGAAAAUUCCCAUGUGCAUAUUUUAGAUUCGGUACUGUUCUGCCCUAAACACAAUUUUAUUGUUGUUAAACAGGAAAAUAAAGUGCACCAUGUUAAUCUUGGCAUUUUUCCACCCCAUUUACAUAUAAAGUUUAUUUAAAACUGAGCUACGGUUAUUUAGUUAUGAAUUAAAGCAUUUUAACAUGGCAUUAUGCAAAAUAAACACAAACAACAUGUUAAACAUUUUUAACAUAGAUGAAAGUGGCAUAUUAUUAAUCUACACAAUUUUCUGAGCAUUUUACAUAUAUAAAUUAUUUUAAUCCGAUGCACAGUUUGUGAGAUAUUAAAUGCAUGAAUAUGAGGGGGGGUUCUGUAAAACUGUUAAUCCUCGGAUAAAUAAACAAAUUCGCAGUCAGGGAAAAAAAAUAUAUGCGGGCCGGAAUCUGGAAGAGAGGCUGAACAGGGCAGGCGCUGGGGCAGCUCACCCAUGGGCUUAGCCCAGACGGCGAGGAGGAGGCCGGGCAGGCAAUGCUGGGCCUUGGAACCAGGUUGGACCGGAG
rnacentral:lncRNA from 1 species